AAAGGAGGGGGAAGGAGGCUGUCCCGGACCCAGGUGAAUGGAGGAACCUGACAGUUGGGGGGAGUGAAGCGGCUGCGGCGGGCAAAUGGCGGCGGCGGCAGCAGCAGCACCACCACCACCACAAUGAAACGCGGCCUGUAGUGGGGGGAAGCACCGGGCUGGGUCCCGUCCGAGCAGGUUACCUAGGGUGAAACAAAAUUACAGUCUUGGAGACUCUGGAAAAGCUCAGCAUCAGCAUUUGAGUUCAUAGGUUUUGUUGUUGUUGUUAAGAGCCGAAGCUUGCAUAUUAUGUGAUUAAUCUACAAGCUGAUAUCAUGAUGUCAAAAUGCAGUUCGGGAAGCAUAAACACAGAGACUGCAGAAAUUAAAACGAUCUAUGCUUUCAAUACAAAUGAAGGCCAGGACUCAGAAGCUUCAGCACAGCGGGAAGUAGCAUUGAUGAUUGAAGCAGGAGAACUCGAGUUUUCACCUGAGUUGGCCUAAAUUCCUUCCCACUCUGUGCUAUUUCAAGUGUGUUUUACCUCAUGC